rnacentral:rRNA from 1 species
AGAGUUUGAUCAUGGCUCAGAGCGAACGCUGGCGGCAGGCUUAACACAUGCAAGUCGAGCGGGCGUAGCAAUACGUCAGCGGCAGACGGGUGAGUAACGCGUGGGGAACGUACCUUUUGGUUCGGAACAACACAGGGAAACUUGUGCUAAUACCGGAUAAGCCCUUACGGGGAAAGAUUUAUCGCCGAAAGAUCGGCCCGCGUCUGAUUAGCUAGUUGGUGAGGUAACGGCUCACCAAGGCGACGAUCAGUAGCUGGUCUGAGAGGAUGAUCAGCCACAUUGGGACUGAGACACGGCCCAAACUCCUACGGGAGGCAGCAGUGGGGAAUAUUGGACAAUGGGCGCAAGCCUGAUCCAGCCAUGCCGCGUGAGUGAUGAAGGCCCUAGGGUUGUAAAGCUCUUUUGUGCGGGAAGAUAAUGACGGUACCGCAAGAAUAAGCCCCGGCUAACUUCGUGCCAGCAGCCGCGGUAAUACGAAGGGGGCUAGCGUUGCUCGGAAUCACUGGGCGUAAAGGGUGCGUAGGCGGGUCUUUAAGUCAGGGGUGAAAUCCUGGAGCUCAGCUCCAGAACUGCCUUUGAUACUGAGGAUCUUGAGUUCGGGAGAGGUGAGUGGAACUGCGAGUGUAGAGGUGAAAUUCGUAGAUAUUCGCAAGAACACCAGUGGCGAAGGCGGCUCACUGGCCCGAUACUGACGCUGAGGCACGAAAGCGUGGGGAGCAAACAGGAUUAGAUACCCCAGUAGUCC